CCUACGGGAGGCAGCAGUAAGGGAUAUUGGUCAAUGGGGGAAACCCUGAACCAGCAACGCCGCGUGAGGGAAGACGGUUUUCGGAUUGUAAACCUCUGUCCUCUGUGAAGAUGAUGACGGUAGCAGAGGAGGAAGCUCCGGCUAACUACGUGCCAGCAGCCGCGGUAAUACGUAGGGAGCGAGCGUUGUCCGGAUUUACUGGGUGUAAAAGGAGCGUAGACGGCGCUGCAAGUCCGGAGUGAAAGCCCAUGGCUUAACCAUGGUACUGCUCUGGAAACUGUGGAGCUUGAGUGCGGGAGGGGCAG
rnacentral:rRNA from 1 species